rnacentral:rRNA from 1 species
UACGAAGGGGGCUAGCGUUGCUCGGAAUUACUGGGCGUAAAGCGCACGUAGGCGGUCUUUUAAGUCGGGGGUGAAAUCCUGGAGCUCAACUCCAGAACUGCCUUCGAUACUGGAAGACUUGAGUCCGGGAGAGGUGAGUGGAACUGCGAGUGUAGAGGUGAAAUUCGUAGAUAUUCGCAAGAACACCAGUGGCGGAGGCGGCUCACUGGCCCGGUACUGACGCUGAGGUGCGAAAGCGUGGGGAGCAAACAGGG